rfam:Agromyces sp. NDB4Y10 AVP42_contig000040, whole genome shotgun sequence.
UGCGGCACUGCGAUUCCCCCCAAUCGUCGUGCUGCCGAGGCGGCACCUGUUCCCCCCAAUGGGUGCCGCCCCCU